rnacentral:lncRNA from 1 species
GAAGUUGUGCAGAGUUGCGUAGCAGGUGUUUCCACUUCGCGCAGGGGCUUAGUGGGCAAAGCCGGGUCCUGCCCGGACCCUGGACCCAUGGAAGGUGCACACCUUCCAGGGACAGCCCUGUUUGCCCUCGACUCUUCUUGCUUCGCGCUCGUCCCCAGCCAGCCCAGCGCGCCCGGAGGCCGCAGCUCGCCCGGCUCGGCCCGCCGUCCUCCCUGGAGGCUCCACCUGCCGCUCCCUAGGCCGGGCCCAUCUGGAGUUCCCUGCGGAACCAGAGACGGUCCUCCUUCGCCUUGUCAAUCACCCCUGAAUCUGGAACGCUGAAGGAAUAGAAAAUAGGCGGAAAAGAAGAUGGAAGAAUCUAGAGGAAAGGGGACUUUUAUAUGGGGAAAGAGCAAACAGCCGACCAAAAAAAAAAAAAAAAAAAAAACCCACAUGAUUUGACUUCAUCCUUUUCAAAGGAAAAGAAAGAAAAAUAGAGACGUUUCCGGGAGUGGGACGAUACGUGUUGAUUGAUGUGGGGGUUAUACAAGGAGGCUAAAAUGAGGAAAUGGGGGCAGAUAGUUUGCAAUGUGACAAUCAACACCCCCCCACCUCUGAAUCAAGAGGGACCUUGUUUUCUUUCCCAGAGAAUAGACAAGUGCAGGAGCUGGUGCCAGCCACGGGGUUUCAGCCUGUAGGCUAGUUCGGGGAAAACAUCCCCUAACUCGCUUCAAGGAGAACACCAAGUUCACGAGCUCCAAGCCAAGGAGUGACCCGGGGACACUCCUUCCCCUGACCAGGGGGUGGCAGGGCGGGAGAGCCCUGUGACCUGGCGACCAUCUCUGAGGCUGAACCCGGUCCCGGGCUCCCUGCUCUCUCCACGCACCUCGCCAGCUCCUUCCAACUUGCAGGGAACAAAGUCCGGGGAGAGGCAGGUGGGGGCGGCCUGGCCAAGGAGCUCCCCAUCACUCCCCGAGGUCGUGGGUGGGGGGCUGCGCGGCCCAGCGGCAUGCAGGUCCGCCCGUGGCACCCAAACCCCGAGAGAGCCAGAACUUGCCGGGCUGCCUGGGCCCGGCCCACUUUCCCAGGCGCUCUGGGGUCCGGGGAGAAAGUCCCGGAACCACCCGGGCCACCAGUACCCGCUGCUCCGGCAUCUCGGAGGAGGCAUCGCCGCCAGGCACCACGCAGCUUCACCAACUCGGGGUGGCUCCUUUCUCCCCAACAGCCCCCGGCGGGUGCCGAGAAAAAGAGGCAUUUCGUUUCAGCCCGAGUGAGGGGGAAGGAGGGCGGAGGUGGGGCGCGGGAGAUGAGGGUGGGCAGAGGGCGAUGCAAGCUGCCUGCCGGCAUCGCGAUCGCGGGGCGUCGCGGUGGAGAGCCACCGGCGGAGGCCGGCCCCUCGGCACGCUACCCGCCUCCGAACCGACCCCGGGCUCGCAAGCCGGGCCUCGGAGGGUUCGCACAUCGCCCGGGCACCCGGCGAGCCCGCCUUACCUUGGGCUGCAGUGAGGAACCCCGCGCACAGCGCCAGCAGCGCCAGAAGCAGCGACUCGAAUUUCCCCCACGCAGUCAUGUCUGCAGAUAUUCCACACGCGCACGACAGCGAUGGCCCUUCUCGGACGCGCCCGGCUCCUCCGAGGCACAGCAGGGCUACGGACGGAGCCAGAGAACCACCCGAGGGCGAGGCGAGCUGGGGCGAGAUCCCGGUCUCCGGACCGGCCGCGCAUCCGACGCUUCCCGCAGAGAAAGCCACAGUCCCUUGGUCUCUUAUCUCAUCUGAGGUUCCCUGCCUGGGUUCUGAAAGCCCCUCCAGAGCACUCUCGCAUCCAUCAGGCAUACUGCUCUCCAUGGCCUCGGGACUCAGGCUGAGCAGCAUCAGAAACAUCAGUGGCACCAGGGAUGAGAGCUGAGCAGAGGAAUCAAUAAAGGCAAAGAGGGUCUGACGUACUGGGAUUGAUAAAGACACCCCUAACCUUGUGUAAUGACUCAGGUGAAGAGUGGACAACACAGACAUCUGGAAAGUGCUGUAACUGAAGAGGGAGAAUGUUUUUCUUUUGUUUCUUCUUCAGGUGAACCAUGCCUGAGAAGGGGACAGAAUAUAUGAAUAGGGUACUUGAGACAAAAUUAUAAAUGAAAAGCUUUGCUCACGUGAGAAUGCUAAUUAGCCAGAAAUACAUGUGUUGCGUGGAUGGAUGUCUCUGAGAGUGCGGUGCGUUGCUGUGAUUGCUAAAUGGGACAUCUUUUGACUCUGUUAAUGGCAUGUACCAAAACCUGAUGAUGACCAGGGUACUGGGAGAACCUCUCUCCUUCACAGAGGGGUGGGGAUGGCAUCACAUGAUUCUGGUUUCCCUAAAGGCAAUGCCCAUCUUAGGAGAGCAAGAAGGAUGGGAGGGAGACGGGUGAAGGGAAAGAAAGGAGUAAAAUGAUCACUUCCUGUUUGCACAACUCUUUAUGCUGAAUCUUGUUUCUAUCAUAAGAUUAUCACUGCCCGCCUCCCCACCCAAUGAUGAGCAAGCAAAGCUUUAAGAAAUGAAGUCAUUUGUAGGAGGUCAUAUCUCACUCAGGACCGGAUGAUAUUAUCAAGGCUGUUGCUGUUUUGCUUUGCCAUAUCAACAUUUAAAACCCUCCUCGCUGCCCCUCCCUCACGAAGGAGCUUACACUUCCCUUCCUGGUCUCCACGCUCCCGGUACCUCUGCGCUGGUUUAUGAAGAAACUGAGCCAGGCAUGUAGAAAGCACUCCUCCCAGAAACACCAGAACACAGUCUUGCUGGGAGCCUCCUCCAGGACAGACCAUUUGCACUGAAAGAAGAUUCUGUGACCCUGUGUGACUGUUUAUUCGUGUAAGUUUUAAUUUUUUAAACUAUUCUCAUUGGCUGGCUUAAAAUAAGCUGAGCACGUUCCCCUGUUUUUCUAAUAAAAUAAUACCUUUAACUAUGUGUAUAUGUGUGUGUGUGUGUACACUAAUAUACAUAUACACACAUAUACAUACACACAUGGGGAAUACUUCCCCUUUUGUUAAUGACUUAGAAGAGUGGCAUUAGGAUGUAGGAAAUUAAAAAGUGUCAAGUAAGUCUAAGUCUAGAGAUGAACCAUGCUGUAAAUGAUCCAUUGGGAAAGGAGAGAAUUAGACCCUGUCUCCUUUCACUAGCGGGAAGCUGAAUAAAAGGAUGCAGACUGAGGGGUUCGUCGUGCGUGGGAAUGCAGUGGAAGACCUGUUGGGGUGAAGACCCCCAGCCCCAGAGUUUCUGAUUCAGCCUAUCCAGGAUGGGGCCCAAGAAUUGCCUUUCCACCAGGUCUCCAGAUGAUGCAUGCAUGCCGGGACUGUUCUCUGAGAACAGCACAGCAAACAGGGUGGACUUUGAGUUAAAAUAGUGGCUUUGUAUCCUGUAUCUGACUUUCUGAGCAGGGGAUCUCUUUUUUAAAAAAAAGAAAGAAAAAAAAACCACUUAAUUUGCAUAUGUUUGCUUCUCAGAAAAUAUGUAAAAUGCUAUUUACCCAAUAGACUUGGAGAAAGCAACAAUAUAAGCACAGUGGCUGAUGUAUACAAAAUGCUUAAAAAUAUCAUUUCCUCUUCUCUCCCUUCAGUCCCUGAAGGAGGAGAGAAGGCACCCAGAUGGAGAAAGGCUCUCCAUCUGUUCGGAUCCGUAUUUUAGGAGUGGCAAGCUGGAUUUGGG